rnacentral:rRNA from 1 species
ACUAAGCGUACACGGUGGAUGCCUGGGCAGUCAGAGGCGAUGAAGGACGUACUAACUUGCGAUAAGCGCAGAUAAGGCAGUAAGAGCCGUUUGAGUCUGCGAUUUCCGAAUGGGGAAACCCAACUGCAUAAGCAGUUACUGUUAACUGAAUACAUAGGUUAACAGAGCAAACCGGGGGAACUGAAACAUCUAAGUACCCCGAGGAGAAGAAAUCAACCGAGAUUCCGGUAGUAGCGGCGAGCGAACCUGGAUUAGCCCUUAAGCACUCGGUGAAGUAGGUGAACAAGCUGGAAAGCUUGGCGAUACAGGGUGAUAGCCCCGUAACCGACGCUUCAUCGAGCGUGAAAUCGAGUAGGGCGGGACACGUGAUAUCCUGUCUGAAUAUGGGGGACCAUCCUCCAAGGCUAAAUACUCCUGACUGACCGAUAGUGAACCAGUACCGUGAGGGAAAGGCGAAAAGACCCCUGUGAGGGGAGUGAAAUAGAACCUGAAACCGUGUACGUACAAGCAGUAGGAGCACCUUCGUGGUGUGACUGCGUACCUUUUGUAUAAUGGGUCAGCGACUUAUAUUCAGUGGCAAGGUUAACCGUAUAGGGGAGCCGUAGCGAAAGCGAGUCUUAACUGGGCGCUCAGUCUCUGGAUAUAGACCCGAAACCGGGUGAUCUAGCCAUGGGCAGGUUGAAGGUUGAGUAACAUCAACUGGAGGACCGAACCGACUAAUGUUGAAAAAUUAGCGGAUGACUUGUGGCUAGGGGUGAAAGGCCAAUCAAACUCGGAGAUAGCUGGUUCUCCCCGAAAGCUAUUUAGGUAGCGCCUCGGACGAAUACUACUGGGGGUAGAGCACUGUUAAGGCUAGGGGGUCAUCCCGACUUACCAACCCUUUGCAAACUCCGAAUACCAGUAAGUACUAUCCGGGAGACACACGGCGGGUGCUAACGUCCGUCGUGGAGAGGGAAACAACCCAGACCGCCAGCUAAGGUCCCAAAGUAUUGCUAAGUGGGAAACGAUGUGGGAAGGCUCAGACAGCUAGGAUGUUGGCUUAGAAGCAGCCAUCAUUUAAAGAAAGCGUAAUAGCUCACUAGUCGAGUCGGCCUGCGCGGAAGAUGUAACGGGGCUAAGCAAUACACCGAAGCUGCGGCAAUGUCUUUUAGACAUUGGGUAGGGGAGCGUUCUGUAAGCCGUUGAAGGUGAAUCGUAAGGUUUGCUGGAGGUAUCAGAAGUGCGAAUGCUGACAUGAGUAACGACAAAGGGGGUGAAAAACCUCCUCGCCGGAAGACCAAGGGUUCCUGUCCAACGUUAAUCGGGGCAGGGUGAGUCGACCCCUAAGGUGAGGCCGAAAGGCGUAAUCGAUGGGAAACGGGUUAAUAUUCCCGUACUUCUGACUAUUGCGAUGGGGGGACGGAGAAGGCUAGGUGGGCCAGGCGACGGUUGUCCUGGUUCAAGUGCGUAGGCUUGAGAGUUAGGUAAAUCCGGCUCUCUCUAAGGCUGAGACACGACGUCGAGCUACUACGGUAGUGAAGUCAUUGAUGCCAUGCUUCCAGGAAAAGCCUCUAAGCUUCAGAUAGUCAGGAAUCGUACCCCAAACCGACACAGGUGGUCGGGUAGAGAAUACCAAGGCGCUUGAGAGAACUCGGGUGAAGGAACUAGGCAAAAUGGUACCGUAACUUCGGGAGAAGGUACGCUCUUGAUGGUGAAGUCCCUCGCGGAUGGAGCUGACGAGAGUCGCAGAUACCAGGUGGCUGCAACUGUUUAUUAAAAACACAGCACUGUGCAAAAUCGCAAGAUGACGUAUACGGUGUGACGCCUGCCCGGUGCCGGAAGGUUAAUUGAUGGGGUUAGCGCAAGCGAAGCUCUUGAUCGAAGCCCCGGUAAACGGCGGCCGUAACUAUAACGGUCCUAAGGUAGCGAAAUUCCUUGUCGGGUAAGUUCCGACCUGCACGAAUGGCGUAAUGAUGGCCACGCUGUCUCCACCCGAGACUCAGUGAAAUUGAAAUCGCUGUGAAGAUGCAGUGUACCCGCGGCUAGACGGAAAGACCCCGUGAACCUUUACUACAGCUUGGCACUGAACAUUGAACCUACAUGUGUAGGAUAGGUGGGAGGCUAUGAAGACGUGACGCCAGUUGCGUUGGAGCCGUCCUUGAAAUACCACCCUUGUAUGUUUGAUGUUCUAACUUAGACCCAUUAUCUGGGUUGAGGACAGUGCCUGGUGGGUAGUUUGACUGGGGCGGUCUCCUCCCAAAGAGUAACGGAGGAGCACGAAGGUGGGCUAAUCACGGUUGGACAUCGUGAGGUUAGUGCAAUGGCAUAAGCCCGCUUAACUGCGAGAAUGACGGUUCGAGCAGGUGCGAAAGCAGGUCAUAGUGAUCCGGUGGUUCUGUAUGGAAGGGCCAUCGCUCAACGGAUAAAAGGUACUCCGGGGAUAACAGGCUGAUACCGCCCAAGAGUUCAUAUCGACGGCGGUGUUUGGCACCUCGAUGUCGGCUCAUCACAUCCUGGGGCUGAAGUCGGUCCCAAGGGUAUGGCUGUUCGCCAUUUAAAGUGGUACGCGAGCUGGGUUUAGAACGUCGUGAGACAGUUCGGUCCCUAUCUGCCGUGGGCGUUGGAAGAUUGAAGGGGGCUGCUCCUAGUACGAGAGGACCGGAGUGGACGAACCUCUGGUGUUCGGGUUGUGUCGCCAGACGCAUUGCCCGGUAGCUAAGUUCGGAAUUGAUAAGCGCUGAAAGCAUCUAAGCGCGAAGCGAGCCCUGAGAUGAGUCUUCCCUGACAGUUUAACUGUCCUAAAGGGUUGUUCGAGACUAGAACGUUGAUAGGCAGGGUGUGUAAGCGUUGUGAGGCGUUGAGCUAACCUGUACUAAUUGCCCGUGAGGCUUAACC